AGAUUUUGAUCCUGGCUCAGAUUGAACGCUGGCGGCAUGCCUUACACAUGCAAGUCGAACGGCAGCAUGAUCUAGCUUGCUAGAUUGAUGGCGAGUGGCGAACGGGUGAGUAAUACAUCGGAACGUGCCCUGUAGUGGGGGAUAACUAGUCGAAAGAUUAGCUAAUACCGCAUACGACCUGAGGGUGAAAGUGGGGGACCGCAAGGCCUCAUGCUAUAGGAGCGGCCGAUGUCUGAUUAGCUAGUUGGUGGGGUAAAGGCCCACCAAGGCGACGAUCAGUAGCUGGUCUGAGAGGACGAUCAGCCACACUGGGACUGAGACACGGCCCAGACUCCUACGGGAGGCAGCAGUGGGGAAUUUUGGACAAUGGGCGAAAGCCUGAUCCAGCAAUGCCGCGUGUGUGAAGAAGGCCUUCGGGUUGUAAAGCACUUUUGUCCGGAAAGAAAUGGCUCUGGUUAAUACCUGGGGUCGAUGACGGGUACCGGAAGAAUAAGGACCGGCUAACUACGUGCCAGCAGCCGCGGUAAUACGUAGGGUCCAAGCGUUAAUCGGAAUUACUGGGCGUAAAGCGUGCGCAGGCGGUUGUGCAAGACCGAUGUGAAAUCCCCGAGCUUAACUUGGGAAUUGCAUUGGUGACUGCACGGCUAGAGUGUGUCAGAGGGGGGUAGAAUUCCACGUGUAGCAGUGAAAUGCGUAGAGAUGUGGAGGAAUACCGAUGGCGAAGGCAGCCCCCUGGGAUAACACUGACGCUCAUGCACGAAAGCGUGGGGAGCAAACAGGAUUAGAUACCCUGGUAGUCACGCCCUAAACGAUGUCAACUAGUUGUUGGGGAUUCAUUUNCUUAGUAACCGUAGCUUACGCGUGAAAGUUGACCGCCUGGGGAGUCCGUCGCAAGAUUAAAACUCAAAGGAAUUGCCGGGACCCCGCACAAUUCCGCAACGAGCGCAACCCUUGUCUCUAGUUGCUACGAAAGGGCACUCUAGAGAGACUGCCGGUGACAAACCGGAGGAAGGUGGGGAUGACGUCAAGUCCUCAUGGCCCUUAUGGGUAGGGCUUCACACGUCAUACAAUGGUGCAUACAGAGGGUUGCCAAGCCGCGAGGUGGAGCUAAUCCCAGAAAAUGCAUCGUAGUCCGGAUCGUAGUCUGCAACUCGACUACGUGAAGCUGGAAUCGCUAGUAAUCGCGGAUCAGCAUGCCGCGGUGAAUACGUUCCCGGGUCUUGUACACACCGCCCGUCACACCAUGGGAGUGGGCUUUACCAGAAGUAGUUAGCCUAACCGCAAGGAGGGCGAUUACCACGGUAGGGUUCAUGACUGGGGUGAAGUCGUAACAAGGUAACC
rnacentral:rRNA from 1 species